UACGUAGGGUGCAAGCGUUGUCCGGAAUUAUUGGGCGUAAAGAGCUCGUAGGCGGUCUGUCGCGUUGGCUGUGAAAACCCGGGGCUCAACCCCGGGCCUGCAGUCGAUACGGGCAGACUAGAGUGCGGUAGGGGAGACUGGAAUUCCUGGUGUAGCGGUGAAAUGCGCAGAUAUCAGGAGGAACACCGGUGGCGAAGGCGGGUCUCUGGGCCGUAACUGACGCUGAGGAGCGAAAGCGUGGGGAGCGAACAGG
rnacentral:rRNA from 1 species